rnacentral:rRNA from 1 species
AACCCGAAAGAUCGAAUGGGGAGAUUCAUCGUCAGCGAGCCUUGGCGCGUGUACGGUUCGCGAUGCUCUGGGGAUUUCGGUCCCUCGGCACGCGUCCGUAUGGUUCUUUGCCAGGUUUCGUCGGCGUGCACUUCUCCCCUAGUAGGACGUCGCGACCCGUUGGGUGUCGGUUUACGGCCCGGGUGGGUGCCUGUCAUGCGUUUAGCUUAACGGCGACACGUGGCAGACCCCCGGUUGUCUGACCAGCUGCUCGGCGGUACUCGCAUGGUAUCGAGCCGCAAAUAUUCGAACUGCGUCCGAACCGCCGCAAGCCUGGCCAGUGUUUCCCGGAUGGUACGGAUCUAGCGCCGUCACCGGGCCUGGCCGGCUGUUGGCCGGCGGUUUUCUUGGACAGGCUCUUGAUUUAUGAAUACCGGUCGGCGACGCUACUGCUUUGGGUACUUUCAGGACCCGUCUUGAAACACGGACCAAGGAGUCUAACAUGUGCGCGAGUCAUUGGGAGCUUGUUAAGCCCAAAGGCGCAAUGAAAGUGAAGAUCCGGCCUUGCGUCGAUCGAGGGAGGAUGGGCCGCUUAGUUAAUGGCGGCCCCGCACUCCCGGGGCGUCUCGUUCUCAUCGCGAGAGGAGGCGCACCCAGAGCGUAUACGUUGGGACCCGAAAGA